GUUCCGUUGGGCGUCGCGGCGACGGCGGGAAGAUGGCGGCGGCGGGAGCCCUGGAACGGAGCUUCGUGGAGCUAAGCGGAGCUGAGCGCGAAAGGCCGAGGCACUUUCGGGAAUUCACAGUCUGCAGCAUUGGGACUGCAAAUGCCGUGGCUGGCGCCGUAAAAUACAGUGAAAGCGCGGGAGGCUUUUACUACGUGGAGAGUGGCAAGUUGUUCUCCGUAACCAGAAACAGGUUCAUUCAUUGGAAGACCUCUGGAGAUACAUUGGAGCUGAUGGAGGAGUCACUGGACAUAAAUCUGUUGAAUAAUGCCAUUCGCCUAAAAUUCCAAAAUUGCAGUGUUUUACCUGGAGGGGUUUAUGUCUCUGAGACUCAGAAUCGUGUGAUAAUCUUGAUGUUAACCAAUCAAACAGUGCACAGGUUACUUUUACCACACCCCUCCCGGAUGUAUAGGAGUGAGUUGGUAGUUGACAGUCAGAUGCAGUCAAUAUUCACUGACAUUGGAAAAGUUGAUUUCACAGAUCCUUGCAACUAUCAGUUAAUUCCAGCAGUACCUGGAAUAUCUCCUAAUUCCACCGCCUCUACAGCCUGGCUCAGCAGUGAUGGGGAGGCCCUGUUUGCCUUACCAUGUGCUUCUGGGGGAAUCUUUGUUCUUAAGCUACCUCCUUAUGACAUACCUGGUAUGGUGUCAGUCGUGGAACUGAAACAGAGUUCAGUAAUGCAACGAUUGCUUACAGGCUGGAUGCCAACAGCUAUCAGGGGUGACCAGUCGCCUUCAGAUCGUCCCCUCAGUCUUGCUGUUCAUUGUGUGGAGCAUGAUGCCUUCAUCUUUGCUUUGUGUCAGGAUCAUAAACUACGAAUGUGGUCUUACAAGGAGCAAAUGUGCCUAAUGGUAGCUGACAUGCUGGAGUAUGUCCCUGUGAAGAAAGACCUUCGGCUUACUGCUGGAACUGGACACAAAUUACGGCUUGCUUAUUCCCCCACCAUGGGACUCUACCUGGGGAUAUACAUGCAUGCACCAAAACGAGGACAGUUCUGCAUUUUCCAGUUGGUGAGCACUGAGAGUAAUCGCUAUAGUCUCGAUCAUAUUUCUUCACUGUUCACUUCUCAGGAGACACUGAUUGACUUUGCCUUAACUUCCACGGAUAUCUGGGCCCUGUGGCAUGAUGCUGAGAACCAAACAGUAGUGAAAUACAUCAACUUUGAACAUAAUGUUGCAGGUCAGUGGAAUCCAGUUUUUAUGCAGCCUCUGCCAGAGGAAGAGAUUGUCAUCAGAGAUGAUCAAGACCCCAGAGAGAUGUAUCUGCAAAGUCUUUUUACACCAGGACAAUUCACAAAUGAAGCUUUAUGUAAGGCUUUACAGAUUUUCUGCCGAGGAACUGAGAGGAAUUUGGAUCUUUCCUGGAGUGAACUGAAGAAAGAAGUUACUUUAGCUGUUGAAAAUGAGCUUCAAGGAAGUGUAACAGAGUAUGAAUUCUCCCAGGAGGAGUUUCGAAAUUUACAACAAGAAUUCUGGUGCAAGUUCUAUGCCUGUUGUCUUCAGUAUCAAGAAGCCCUCUCUCACCCUCUUGCCCUACAUUUGAAUCCACACACAAACAUGGUGUGCCUGCUGAAAAAAGGGUACCUGUCUUUCCUUAUUCCCUCAUCCUUAGUGGAUCAUUUGUAUCUCCUGCCUUAUGAGAACCUUUUGACAGAAGAUGAGACAACCAUAUCUGAUGAUGUGGACAUCGCUCGGGAUGUCAUAUGUCUUAUAAAAUGCCUCCGGCUGAUUGAAGAGUCAGUAACUGUGGAUAUGUCAGUUAUAAUGGAAAUGAGUUGUUAUAACCUACAGUCUCCGGAAAAGGCUGCAGAGCAGAUUCUGGAAGAUAUGAUCACUAUUGAUGUGUAAGGAGAAUUAGGAGAAAAUGUGAUGGAGGAUAUUUGUAGUAAACUGCAAGAGAUUAGGAACCCAAUCCAUGCAAUUGGACUACUUAUACGGGAAAUGGAUUAUGAAACAGAAGUGGAAAUGGAAAAGGGAUUCAAUCCAGCUCAGCCUUUGAAUAUUCGAAUGAAUCUUACCCAGCUCUAUGGUAGUAACACAGCAGGGUAUAUUGUGUGCAGAGGGGUGCAUAAAAUCGCCAGUACUCGUUUCCUGAUCUGCAGAGAUCUUUUGAUCUUACAGCAGCUGUUAAUGAGGCUUGGAGAUGCUGUGAUUUGGGGAACUGGUCAGCUCUUUCAAGCUCAGCAAGACCUACUACAUCGAACAGCUCCCCUACUCUUAUCUUAUUACCUCAUUAAAUGGGGAAGUGAGUGCUUGGCAACUGAUGUUCCACUUGACACACUGGAGUCUAAUCUCCAACACUUAUCAGUACUGGAAUUAACAGACUCUGGUGCUUUAAUGGCAAAUAGGUUUGUAUCUAGUCCUCAGACUAUUGUGGAGUUAUUCUUCCAAGAAGUUGCAAGAAAACACAUUAUAUCUCACCUCUUCUCUCAGCCAAAGGCACCUCUGAGCCAAACUGGAUUGAAUUGGCCUGAAAUGAUUACUGCAAUUACCAGUUAUUUAUUGCAGCUUUUAUGGCCUAGCAAUCCUGGUUGUCUCUUUCUAGAAUGUUUGAUGGGAAAUUGCCAAUAUGUACAAUUGCAGGAUUAUAUUCAACUGCUACAUCCCUGGUGUCAAGUCAAUGUUGGUUCCUGUCGAUUUAUGCUGGGAAGGUGUUACCUAGUUACAGGAGAAGGACAGAAGGCUCUGGAAUGUUUUUGUCAGGCAGCAUCUGAAGUAGGCAAAGAGGAAUUCUUGGAUCGCUUGAUUCGCUCAGAGGAUGGGGAGAUCGUGUCUACCCCCAGGCUGCAGUAUUAUGACAAGGUUUUACGACUACUAGAUGUCAUUGGUUUGCCUGAACUGGUUAUUCAGUUGGCUACAUCAGCCAUAACUGAAGCAGGUGAUGACUGGAAAAGUCAGGCUACUCUAAGGACAUGUAUUUUCAAACAUCAUUUGGAUUUGGGUCACAAUAGCCAAGCAUAUGAAGCCUUAACCCAAAUUCCUGAUUCCAGCAGGCAAUUAGAUUGUUUACGGCAGUUGGUGGUAGUUCUUUGUGAACGCUCACAGCUACAGGAUCUUGUAGAGUUUCCCUAUGUGAAUCUGCAUAAUGAGGUUGUGGGAAUAAUUGAGUCACGUGCUAGAGCUGUGGACCUUAUGACUCACAAUUACUAUGAACUUCUGUAUGCCUUUCACAUCUAUCGCCACAAUUACCGCAAGGCUGGCACAGUGAUGUUUGAGUAUGGAAUGCGGCUUGGCAGAGAAGUUCGAACUCUCCGGGGACUUGAGAAACAAGGCAACUGUUAUCUGGCUGCUCUCAAUUGUUUACGACUUAUUCGUCCAGAAUAUGCGUGGAUUGUGCAGCCAGUGUCUGGUGCAGUGUAUGAUCGCCCUGGAGCAUCCCCUAAGAGGAAUCAUGAUGGAGAAUGCACAGCUGCCCCCACAAAUCGACAAAUUGAAAUCCUGGAACUGGAAGAUCUGGAGAAAGAGUGUUCCUUGGCUCGCAUCCGCCUCACUUUGGCUCAGCAUGAUCCAUCAGCGGUUGCAGUUGCUGGAAGUUCAUCAGCAGAGGAAAUGGUCACUCUCUUGGUUCAGGCGGGCCUCUUUGACACUGCCAUAUCACUCUGUCAGACUUUUAAGCUUCCCUUAACGCCAGUCUUUGAAGGGCUUGCCUUCAAAUGCAUCAAAUUGCAAUUUGGAGGAGAGGCAGCACAAGCAGAAGCCUGGGCCUGGCUAGCAGCCAAUCAGCUCUCAUCUGUCAUCACUACUAAGGAGUCUAGUGCUACAGAUGAAGCAUGGCGACUAUUAUCCACUUACCUGGAGAGGUACAAAGUCCAGAAUAACUUGUAUCACCACUGUGUAAUCAACAAGCUCUUGUCUCAUGGAGUGCCUCUGCCUAAUUGGCUUAUAAACAGUUACAAGAAGGUUGAUGCUGCUGAAUUGCUUCGUUUAUACUUAAACUAUGACCUUUUAGAAGAAGCUGUGGAUUUGGUGUCAGAAUAUGUGGAUGCUGUAUUGGGAAAAGGACAUCAAUACUUCGGAAUUGAGUUUCCACUGUCCGCAACAGCCCCAAUGGUGUGGCUUCCAUACUCCUCUAUUGAUCAGCUUCUCCAAGCUCUGGGAGAGAACAGUGCCAACAGUCACAACAUCGCACUGUCCCAGAAAAUACUUGACAAAUUGGAGGACUACCAGCAAAAAGUUGAUAAGGCAACACGGGAUUUAUUAUAUCGUCGGACCUUGUGAUUUGGAUUGUCACCUAGCCUUUGUAACCGCUUGGUGCCUCUUAGGACUUAAGACUACCCUACAGGAACCCUGUACUCAAGGCCGAUUUUUGUAACUGUAAAUGAUGUGUACAACAUUCAAGUCUGCAUUCUGCACAAGAUAGGAGGGCGGAAGAGUCAGAGGACCCUGUGCUUGCUGGUGGUGCUAACACAAUUUCUGGUGUUCAACCUUGGUCUCAAAUAGCUGCUUUUGUAUAUGAUUCACGAGCUUUUUUAGAGUUUAUAUUUUUUUAAACUACCGAAGACAUUCAUUAUCUGCAAAUUAAGACUCACCUUCACUUUCCAAAAUAGCUGAGGGUUGUUGGCUUGUUGUAGCUGACCACCAAAAGCAGUCACUGCAAAUCUUUUAAUUCUUCCCUAUCACCUUUUGUAUUUUAAUGCAAUUAUUUUGGUCCAGAACUGACCUGUAUUUUCUGUAUUGUACACAAAAGCUAAUAAUUUUGUGUACUUUUUAUUUAUUUUGGAGGUUUUAUAUGAUCUUCAAUUGAGUAUUAAAUAAUUUGCCUAGAUUAAGCCUAAAAUGAUGACCAGCUAAUUAAAGAAGAUAUUUUGAAUCUGGUUCUGAGCUAAAGUUGAGUAAAUUCUUAGCUAAGAAAAAAUUGGAAAUCCAUCAUCUAUAUUAGCAACAGAUUCUCAGAGUAAAUUGUUAACUUCUAUGAUUUAUGAUAAUCAAGCUGGACUUGAUCAUACAAGUUAGUCUCAUAAUGUAUUGGACCAAAAUGUAAACUUCAUUGGUCAGAUUUAGAAGCAUUCAUGCUCACAAGUUUUGGGAAAGUGAAAAAUAAUAAAAUCAUCUUGGAUUUUAUUCUGUAUAUUAAAAUUUAUCUUUUAAGGAAACAAUCUGUAUACUACUUGCUUGUAUAGCCUUUUGACCCUUCUUGAGUUUUUCAGAAGCCUUUAAUUUUUAUACUUUCAAUACCAUAUUUACAUUAUAUACUUUAAUUAACAA